GUACACUAAUACCUUGCGUGCACUCCUCACGCACGCACGCACGCACGUAUGAAACUUUCUCUUUUUUAUUUUUAUUUUCACCACCAAUCGUUCAGGCCCAGGACAUUUUCGUCAAUUUGGUUCUAUAUAACCUUAGCUUCCGUGCACUCCCAUUAUUUCGACUUUGACUGCUUCCUCUUUCUCUUUCUCUCUCUCUGUGCGACCGCGAAGCUGAAGCGUUUUUUUAGUUUCUGAGUGUGGGGUUCGAUCUGGGUGUUCGGUUCAAUAGAAUUGGGUGGCUUGAAGGUUUAUUCUUUGAUUGAAUCGUGUUCCGCUUUCACAGGUACUUCAAGUGGUAUUGGUGCCAGAAACAGAAGUGGCGAACUUUUGGCUGAGAGAGACAGUAUGCGGUGGUUUUUGAGUCUUUCUGUUGAUGUGUAUAGGAAAGUUAUAUCCUUGAACCUCUAUUGUAGAGUAAUCCUGUAAUUUCCUUUUCCAAUAACGUACCCUUCAAUUCUGCAGCUUUGUUAUUCAGUCUAGCUUCCAUGGGAUCCACUUUUUUCAUUGUUAUUCCCUGCUAUGUCCGCCAGAUUAGCUGAAUAGGGGAAUUCAGCGUUUUGUCUGUUCAAAUCACUUUCAUUCUCUUGCUUGACAAUAAAUCCCAGUGAUUGUUGUAUUUA